GGCCCCGUAGUUCAAUGGAUAGAACGGAAGUUUCCUAAACUUUAAAUACAAGUUCGAUUCUUGUCGGGGCUA
rnacentral:tRNA from 1 species